AUUGAACGCUGGCGGAAUGCUUUACACAUGCAAGUCGAACGGCAGCACGGACUUCGGUCUGGUGGCGAGUGGCGAACGGGUGAGUAAUACAUCGGAACGUGCCCAAUCGUGGGGGAUAACGUAGCGAAAGCUACGCUAAUACCGCAUACGAUCUAAGGAUGAAAGCGGGGGAUCGCAAGACCUCGCGCGAUUGGAGCGGCCGAUGGCAGAUUAGGUAGUUGGUAGGGUAAAGGCCUACCAAGCCGACGAUCUGUAGGUGGUCUGAGAGGAUGAUCAGCCCCACUGGGACUGAGACACGGCCCAGACUCCUACGGGAGGCAGCAGUGGGGAAUUUUGGACAAUGGACACAAGUCUGAUCCAGCCGUUCCGCGUGCAGGAUGAAGGCCCUCGGGUUGUAAACUGCUUUUGUACAGAACGAAAAGGCUCUGGUUAAUACCUAGGGCUCAUGACGGUACUGUAAGAAUAAGCACCGGCUAACUACGCGCCAGCCGCCGCCGUAA
rnacentral:rRNA from 1 species